GGAGGGUUGCCGGAGUGGUUAACGGAGCAGUUUGCUAAACUGUCGACUCGCAAGGGUCGCAUGGGUUCGAAUCCCAUACCCUCCGCAA
rnacentral:tRNA from 8 species